AGCGUACACGGUGGAUGCCCUGGCAGUCAGAGGCGAUGAAGGACGUGCUAAUCUGCGAUAAGCGCCGGUAAGGUGAUAUGAACCGUUAUAACCGGCGAUUUCCGAAUGGGGAAACCCAGUGUGAUUCGUCACACUAUCAUUAACUGAAUCCAUAGGUUAAUGAGGCGAACCGGGGGAACUGAAACAUCUAAGUACCCCGAGGAAAAGAAAUCAACCGAGAUUCCCCCAGUAGCGGCGAGCGAACGGGGAGGAGCCCAGAGCCUGAAUCAGCAUGUGUGUUAGUGGAAGCGUCUGGAAAGGUGCGCGAUACAGGGUGACAGCCCCGUACACAAAAGCGCAUGUGCUGUGAGCUCGAUGAGUAGGGCGGGACACGUGGUAUCCUGUCUGAAUAUGGGGGGACCAUCCUCCAAGGCUAAAUACUCCUGACUGACCGAUAGUGAACCAGUACCGUGAGGGAAAGGCGAAAAGAACCCCGGCGAGGGGAGUGAAAAAGAACCUGAAACCGUGUACGUACAAGCAGUGGGAGCACCCUUCGGGGUGUGACUGCGUACCUUUUGUAUAAUGGGUCAGCGACUUAUAUUCUGUAGCAAGGUUAACCGUAUAGGGGAGCCGGAGGGAAACCGAGUCUUAACCGGGCGUUAAGUUGCAGGGUAUAGACCCGAAACCCGGUGAUCUAGCCAUGGGCAGGUUGAAGGUUGGGUAACACUAACUGGAGGACCGAACCGACUAAUGUUGAAAAAUUAGCGGAUGACCUGUGGCUGGGGGUGAAAGGCCAAUCAAACCGGGAGAUAGCUGGUUCUCCCCGAAAGCUAUUUAGGUAGCGCCUCGUGAAUUCAUCUCCGGGGGUAGAGCACUGUUUCGGCUAGGGGGCCAUCCCGGCUUACCAACCCGAUGCAAACUGCGAAUACCGGAGAAUGUUAUCACGGGAGACACACGGCGGGUGCUAACGUCCGUCGUGAAGAGGGAAACAACCCAGACCGCCAGCUAAGGUCCCAAAGUCAUGGUUAAGUGGGAAACGAUGUGGGAAGGCCCAGACAGCCAGGAUGUUGGCUUAGAAGCAGCCAUCAUUUAAAGAAAGCGUAAUAGCUCACUGGUCGAGUCGGCCUGCGCGGAAGAUGUAACGGGGCUAAACCAUGCACCGAAGCUGCGGCAGCGAACGUAUCACCCAAGACAACUUUACGGAGUUGACGAUUGACGGAGCGAAGCGACGUCAAAGCGUUCAUUAAAGUCGAGUUGGCUUAGGGAUACGUUCGUUGGGUAGGGGAGCGUUCUGUAAGCCUGUGAAGGUGUGUCGUGAGGCAUGCUGGAGGUAUCAGAAGUGCGAAUGCUGACAUAAGUAACGAUAAAGCGGGUGAAAAGCCCGCUCGCCGGAAGACCAAGGGUUCCUGUCCAACGUUAAUCGGGGCAGGGUGAGUCGACCCCUAAGGCGAGGCCGAAAGGCGUAGUCGAUGGGAAACGGGUUAAUAUUCCCGUACUUGGUGUUACUGCGAAGGGGGGACGGAGAAGGCUAUGUUGGCCGGGCGACGGUUGUCCCGGUUUAAGCGUGUAGGUGUGUGUUCCAGGUAAAUCCGGUUCACUUUAACACUGAGGCGUGAUGACGAGGCACUACGGUGCUGAAGCAACAAAUGCCCUGCUUCCAGGAAAAGCCUCUAAGCAUCAGGUAACAUCAAAUCGUACCCCAAACCGACACAGGUGGUCAGGUAGAGAAUACCAAGGCGCUUGAGAGAACUCGGGUGAAGGAACUAGGCAAAAUGGUGCCGUAACUUCGGGAGAAGGCACGCUGACACGUAGGUGAAGUGAUUUACUCACGGAGCUGAAGUCAGUCGAAGAUACCAGCUGGCUGCAACUGUUUAUUAAAAACACAGCACUGUGCAAACACGAAAGUGGACGUAUACGGUGUGACGCCUGCCCGGUGCCGGAAGGUUAAUUGAUGGGGUCAGCGCAAGCGAAGCUCCUGAUCGAAGCCCCGGUAAACGGCGGCCGUAACUAUAACGGUCCUAAGGUAGCGAAAUUCCUUGUCGGGUAAGUUCCGACCUGCACGAAUGGCGUAAUGAUGGCCAGGCUGUCUCCACCCGAGACUCAGUGAAAUUGAACUCGCUGUGAAGAUGCAGUGUACCCGCGGCAAGACGGAAAGACCCCGUGAACCUUUACUAUAGCUUGACACUGAACAUUGAGCCUUGAUGUGUAGGAUAGGUGGGAGGCUUUGAAGUGUGGACGCCAGUCUGCAUGGAGCCGACCUUGAAAUACCACCCUUUAAUGUUUGAUGUUCUAACGUGGACCCGUAAUCCGGGUUGCGGACAGUGUCUGGUGGGUAGUUUGACUGGGGCGGUCUCCUCCUAAAGAGUAACGGAGGAGCACGAAGGUUGGCUAAUCCUGGUCGGACAUCAGGAGGUUAGUGCAAUGGCAUAAGCCAGCUUGACUGCGAGCGUGACGGCGCGAGCAGGUGCGAAAGCAGGUCAUAGUGAUCCGGUGGUUCUGAAUGGAAGGGCCAUCGCUCAACGGAUAAAAGGUACUCCGGGGAUAACAGGCUGAUACCGCCCAAGAGUUCAUAUCGACGGCGGUGUUUGGCACCUCGAUGUCGGCUCAUCACAUCCUGGGGCUGAAGUAGGUCCCAAGGGUAUGGCUGUUCGCCAUUUAAAGUGGUACGCGAGCUGGGUUUAGAACGUCGUGAGACAGUUCGGUCCCUAUCUGCCGUGGGCGCUGGAGAACUGAGGGGGGCUGCUCCUAGUACGAGAGGACCGGAGUGGACGCAUCACUGGUGUUCGGGUUGUCAUGCCAAUGGCACUGCCCGGUAGCUAAAUGCGGAAGAGAUAAGUGCUGAAAGCAUCUAAGCACGAAACUUGCCCCGAGAUGAGUUCU
rnacentral:rRNA from 1 species